AGGAUAAUAGUUAAAUAUAACAUUUAAUUUGCAUUUAAAAAGUAUUGAUUUCAAUUUAUCUUA
rnacentral:tRNA from 1 species